GAUGAACGCUGGCGGCGUGCCUAAUACAUGCAAGUCGAGCGAGCAGACGAGGAGCUUGCUCCUCUGACGUUAGCGGCGGACGGGUGAGUAACACGUGGAUAACCUACCUAUAAGACUGGGAUAACUUCGGGAAACCGGAGCUAAUACCGGAUAAUAUAUUGAACCGCAUGGUUCAAUAGUGAAAGACGGUUUCGCUGUCACUUAUAGAUGGAUCCGCGCCGCAUUAGCUAGUUGGUAAGGUAACGGCUUACCAAGGCGACGAUGCGUAGCCGACCUGAGAGGGUGAUCGGCCACACUGGAACUGAGACACGGUCCAGACUCCUACGGGAGGCAGCAGUAGGGAAUCUUCCGCAAUGGGCGAAAGCCUGACGGAGCAACGCCGCGUGAGUGAUGAAGGUCUUCGGAUCGUAAAACUCUGUUAUUAGGGAAGAACAAAUGUGUAAGUAACUAUGCACGUCUUGACGGUACCUAAUCAGAAAGCCACGGCUAACUACGUG
rnacentral:rRNA from 1 species